AAGAAAUAUUCUAGCUCCUAGCAAUAUGUUUCAGACUGUGCCCAGGAAUUAUUAAAGGAGAUUCAGAAAAUGCAGUGCUCUCUUCCUAGCCCUGCUGUCUCUCACUUUCCUCUGGUGUUCACGUCUGCAGCUAGGCUUCCGCGUCUCCAAGACUCCCUGGGUCCCUGGACUAGAGCAAGGCAGGUGAGAGGGAGGCUAGCUUCUCACCUGUUAUGAUUUUCCUCUGUCGAUAAUUGAGAUGGACUCUGAUGGGGAGGAAAGUGUAAAAAAGGGUCUUGGACUCUUCCUGUUUCCAGCUUUCCUUUGUGUCUGCGUUAAUCAACUGCCCGAUGCUUUAGUCACAGCUUGCUGCAGUCCAGAGAAAUACUUGGGAUUUAGAAAUCAAACAAAAGGAGAAUCACCCAGAAAUCAGAUUUAAAUCUGCAGUGACUAAAGUUGCUUUGUUAAGGAAAUAAAAGUGGUAAGAAGCUUUUUCUUCUAAGGCUACUGAACAGUUGUAGCUGGCACAAACAGGUUUGGGGCUGUUUGCAUUGAGUGAUGUGAAACCCACCUUGCAUGUGGAAACAGGCUGUAUUUACUUUGAUUUUAAAGUUCUUGCAAUCGCUCAGAAAAUGGGGCAACAACUCCUUGCUCUGAUUUAGAAGAACUGAUGCUUUCCCUGUUAACUGUCAAGGCUCAAAAUAAUACAAACUUGCUUUUGGUUGGAUCCCAAAUGCCACCCUCACAUCAGGAAAAUGAGAAGACAGAUAUGCCAUGGGAGCCCAGUGUAGGCAAAAAUUACAAUGCGUGUCACACUGUCAUUUUCCAAAGUGACUUUUUAAAAUAGCAAAUAAAUAAAUAAAGCCAGAAAACCCCCACAGAGACAUGUUAAUGCCUCAACCUGGAACAAUAAAGCUCUGUUAAAAACACUUGCCAUUAGCCACCAUCUGCUGUCAGCAGUUGGGGGUAGUCUUUAUGUCCUCUUGACAGCUUUGCCUCAUUCCCCCUUGAUGAAGCAAAAACACUACGGUGGACAAAGCAUUCAGGGGUAAGGAUCCCUCAGUACUGCAGCUUUUCAGAGCUCCGAGCUUGGUGGCCAAGAGUCAAUAGUCUGUUCAGGGUGCUCAGGGGUGCAUAUUGAAUUGGAAAAAAAUUGCUAACUGUAUUUCCUUCCCCACACAUACUGCUCCGUUCCUGUCAGCAUUUUCUGCGCAGAUCAGAGAUAUAAUCUUACUGCAUAUGAAGAAUAUGACUAGAGAAGGGAACGCAAUGCAGGUACAAUUUUACAUUCAACAUGAGACGGAAGUAGGGUGCGUUUCCAAUCGAAGGUUAAUCCAAGGUAGGUCAUGGGUAGAAUUUUAUUGGGAAGGGAAUGGAAAACAUGUGUUUGAAGUAACCUAGAAGACACUCACUGCUUAUUUCAGACGCCUCAUGUCUCAAGUCCAUUCAUGAUCCAGCUCUCUAAACCAUAGACAUAGCCAUCACUCAUCAAGAAUAAAAUCUGAAGCCUAAUUUAUUUUUCUACAGCAGUUCAGUAGAUUGUCUUCCCAGUUUAAAAAAUGUAUAAAUCAGGGCUUCUUUUAAGAACAUCUAUGUGCUAGGGGAAUUUAAUGUUUUCAUUUUGAAUUAAGGUAAAAUCUACAUGCAGAACAGUGCAUAUAAGUGUUUCUUUUGCUGAAUCAUCACAGACUGAACACAUUCACAUAAGCAACACCUAGAUCAGGAAACAGCACAUUACUAGUAUGCCCUCUGGCCCUCUGUCAGUCACUAACAAACCCCCCCCCAGUAAUCACGCUGCUGCUUUCUAACCACAUGCUAGUAUCUCCUGUUUUGUACUUAUAAAUGGAAUGAUGUAGUAUGUACUUUUUGGGGUGUGAUUUCUUUUGCUUAGUCUUGUGUUUGUGGGAAUCAUCCGUAUUGUUGCAUGUAUUUCUAAUUGUUCAUCCACGGUGCAACUAUAUUACAGCUUACUUAACCAAUCGACUCUUGUUGGGUGUUUAGGUAUUUAUCGUAAAGAUUUUUUAUUGUGUUGAAUUGUUUGUAGAAAACAUUGUCUCAAAGGCAAUACAUUCACCUUUAAAAGAGUGGUAUAUUCCACUAAAGGAAAAUACUAGCUCACACUACGGAAUUAUUUUCCAAAAUCUAGUUUGUUUUUCUCUGCAUGUGUGUGUACAUUUUAACUUACUGUCUUCCCAACCAGCAGUUUCCAUUGAGCCUUUCAGAGGCUAGAACCUCAGGCUGCGCUAAGGAGCCUGCUGCAGUCAAAAUGAAUGGCUAGAUGACUGUGACAUUAGUAAACAGGUAAUUCAUUUCCCAUGUCAUUGUUCCUCACCUCAAGCUGGUUAGCCAACUCUUUUCGAAAACCCCAACUUGUUUGACCUACUACAAGUUACAGUCCAUUUCGAGUCAUUCGGUGUAAAAUACAAUCUUGUCAAAGUGAAGACACCUGCUCCCGGCAGGAGGGUUACGCACCAACUGCCAAGUCCUUUGUUACGGUGUCUAGAAACAAAAUGAUCUUUCCAUCUGGAAUGUGUCUACAACUGUGACUGCUGGCCUUGGGUUGACUGCCAACCUCUGGUAGCAGGAUGAGGCAGAGAAACAUGG